UUAAAUUUAGUCUGUUAUAGUCUAUAUUCAUGCUAUGGGUGGGCAGCAGUAUGUGUUGGAGUACCUUUUUUGGUAGUAUUCUGAUCUAUACUGGUGACAAAGCCCUCAAAUGUUUCAUGAAUGGCAACUAACCAGGGUUGCCAACCUAUUGGACAAUCGGAUGGAUACACAAUGUUUUUGGAAGAUGAAGAUGUCAUUUGACGUAUGGAGUCUUUGAAAUGGUUGGAGGGGGGACUUGUCCCCAGCAAGAAUCAAAACCGAUUAAAUACCCUGACCCCAGUCCUACUUCUCCUGUUGUGCCACAGUCUCGCUACCGUCUUUUCAGGAACAGUGAAAGACAACUUGUCGAGCGAUCUUUGCUUACUCUCCAGGCCAGUGACUUCUACUGGGGUCCUCUCCCCACAGCUGAGGCCCAUUCCAUGCUGGCAAAAGAGACAGUCGGCACGUUCCUUGUACGUGACAGCUCUCAGGGAAAUCACCUUUUCAGCGUCAGUAUCAAGAUGGAAUCUGGUCCGGUUAGCGUGCGGGUCCUGUUUUUUAAAGGACGGUUUUGGUUGAGGGAACUCUUUUCAGAUUGCCCAGUGAAACUUCUAGAGCAAGCAGUUGAGAUGUCCAAGAAGAAUCCUCUGUUUUGCCACAAUGGGAUUAAACUGGUACUGACAAAGCCACUGCGCAGAACACGAGUCCUCAGUUUGCAGCAGCUUUGCCGUCAAUGCAUUGUGAGACAAUAUGGAACAGAGGAAUUAUCCAGACUUUCUAUUCAGCCUGCACUCCGGAACUAUAUUGAAGAAUUUCCUUUCAAGAUAUGAAGAACCGGAAAGAGAAUGACAGAAAAACCUUUAUGGACAAUGCGAGACAGCUGUUCCCGGGACAUCAAUCAUCAUUUGGCCUAGGAUCACUUUCGAUACAUGCAUUUUACAAGUGUACCCUAUGAACACGUCUGAGUGUGUAAGGACCUGCACAAGGAUGCACACAGUGAUGUCAGUCAUAUUCAAAUACAUUAUUUUUACUUCCCUCGUUAUUGGCCGUAUCAGUUCUACAAUCCAGCUGGCCAACUCUACAAGGCAAAACCGGACAUUAGAAGGAAUGGAAACACCACAUUGCUAAGCUAGAGAAAAUACACUCUGUUCACACUACAUGCACCACUUGGAGGCUCGAUAGCUGCUUUAAUGUGCCCAUGGGGACUUGGACAGUCCACCUGAUAUGGCCCUAAAAAUGUCUUUAAUCCAAAAGCUGCUUCAGCUCACUUGUGUAACACCGUGCACAGAGCAAGUGCGGGACGACACCAGAAUAGUCAAACAAAUCAAAGGCAAGUCCAGCGCAGUUUCAUGCACACAGAAAACUUUCACUUUUUUAGUUCUUAAAAAGGAUGCAGGACAUGAUACAGCAGAAACAUCCAGUGGUGCGUUUCAGACGAUGUAGGAAGUGAUAGAGCAGACACA